AUCCUUCGGGGUGAGUGGCAGACGGGUGAGUAACGCGUGGGGAUGUGCCUAGAGGUGGGGAAUGACUGUGGGAAACUACAGCUAAUACCGCAUAAGCCCUUCGGGGGAAAGAUUUAUCGCCUUUAGAGCAACCCGCGUCAGAUUAGCUAGUUGGUAGGGUAAUGGCCUACCAAGGCAACGAUCUGUAGCUGGUCUGAGAGGAUGACCAGCCACACUGUUUCUCAGACACGGGAAAGACUCCUACGGGUAGGUCGUAGGG
rnacentral:misc_RNA from 1 species